rnacentral:rRNA from 1 species
AUUUGGAGAGGAUGCUUCGGGCGUGGCCCCUAUCUAAGUGCCCUGGAACGGGCCGUCAUAGAGGGUGAGAAUCCCGUCUGGGAUGGGUGGUCCCGCCCGUGUGAAGCUCCUUCGAAGAGUCGAGUUGUUUGGGAAUGCAGCUCUAAGAGGGUGGUAAAUUUCAUCUAAAGCUAAAUAUUGGCCGGAGACCGAUAGCGCACAAGUAGAGUGAUCGAAAGAUGAAAAGCACUUUGAAAAGAGAGUUAAACAGCACGUGAAAUUGUUGAAAGGGA